CGUCGACUCAAGUGUAACCCAUAGCCAAUCAUGACUCUUCUAAUAUCACAACACUUGGCCAAUCAAAUCAAACGUUUUAGCGAAAAAGCCCGCGAAUUGUCAGCGGUUUUCCAAACCAUUUAAAAAAAAAACAUGGCGGCCGUAGUUGAAUUCUUUGAAUGUUAAGACUAUGAUUUAACGUCAUUCCUGCCUUUCUUGCCAAUUAAAAAUCGAGCCACAUUCGAUAAAUAGCUAUCUGAAUGUAAGGUUUCGCUUCAAAGUCCGUUCGUUAUCAGUUCAACUUUCAAGAUAUAUCAUGUUGUCAGCAGACUUACGAAACGCCACGACCUUCAAGCUGGGUGGAGGGGUUCGUCUGUACCCCCCGAAACCCCCCUGACUACGGGCCUGUACCUGGAGCAGUUAUUUCAACAUCACAGUAGUACCAUUGUUUACACUUGUCUGAGACAAAAUACCCUAUGUAUAAAUAAAACCACACAAAGCCAAGAAAUUUAUUAGUUUGGUCCAUACAUACCAUUUAACCCUAAAGUGUGUUAAAAAUAAAUGCACCAAAACCAA